rnacentral:rRNA from 1 species
CCUACGGGCGACAGCAGUGGGGAAUAUUUGGCAAUGGGCGCAAGCCUGACCCAGCAACGCCGCGUGAAGGAAGCAGGCUUUCGGGUUGUAAACUUCUUUUAAGAGGGAAGAGCCGACGACGGUACCUCUUGAAUAAGCCACGGCUAACUACGUGCCAGCAGCCGCGGUAAUACGUAGGUGGCAAGCGUUGUCCGGAUUUACUGGGUGUAAAGGGCGUGUAGCCGGGCUGACAAGUCAGAUGUGAAAUUCCGGGGCUCAACCCCGGACCUGCAUUUGAAACUGUUGGUCUUGAGUAUCGGAGAGGCAGGCGGAAUUCCUAGUGUAGCGGUGAAAUGCGUAGAUAUUAGGAGGAACACCAGUGGCGAAGGCGGCCUGCUGGACGACAACUGACGGUGAGGCGCGAAAGCGUGGGGAGCAAACAGGAUUAGAUACCCUAGUAGUC